AAAACAAAGAAUUUAAAUAGAAUGGUAGAUGUAAAUAAAGAUUGCUUAACGGUAAGCAUAACGACGUUGUCAAUAAAGACAUGCUAUAUAAACUAGUCGCAAUACUUAAGUGUUUAUAAUAAGAUCAAAUCUAUCUUCACUAAGAAAUAUCUUUUUUCAAUAUGAAAAUAAAUAAAGUAUGAGUUUACACUGUAGCAGGACAACAAUGGAUACGUAGAUCUACUUUCUAUUCGGAAUGGAAAAGAUUCCGACCAUAGAAAAAUUGAUUGAUCGUCUGAAACUUGUGGAUUGGAAUGACCCAAAUGUGCCAAAUGAUGUCCAUAAUCUGCUAGCGCGUUACAGUAGUGAUGACUGGAGAAACUUUAUUCCAGGAGAAGUGACAGAGUACAGAAGAGAUACAGUCAAACAAGAAACACAUUUCUUGGUUUUGCUUUUGACUUUCCCGCCAAACACUGGAAACAAGAUUCACAAUCAUGGAGUAUCUGAAUGCUGCUUCAAGGUAUUACAGGGAAACAUUCUAGAGCGUCAUUACAGGAAUCCAGCAUGUAAAUGUGAGAUGAAAUGCAAAGGCGACAGACUUUACCAAACAAAUGAAUUAAAUGAGACUUCAAACUACAACAUACAUUGUUGUUGCAACCCAAGCGAAGAACAGACAGCAGUGACACUAGUUGUCUACUUCCCUCCUCUAAGCAAAUUUCAAGUAUUUGACCAGAAUACAGGAGAAACUAAGGACUUAAUUUUUACUCCAGAGGCGCCUACCAUACACGGCGACGUCCAGGAUGAUGACGCUGUACUACAACAUAUAUUUGAGUAGAUGAUACUUAAGAUGGUACUUUAGAUGGUACUUUACUUUAGAUUUAGAUUUGUAAUAUUUUUUUAACUUAUGAACUUGUUAUUGUUUCCUGAAGAAUUCAAAUGUAAGAUGGAUGUUAAAAGUAGGACCAUUAUCAGGCCCACAAAGUAGGCCCACAAAGGAAAUUGAAAUAGUUCUAGAAAUAUUUGGCUUCUAGAUAAUGUCUACAGCUUAGACUAUAUAUUUAUUUAUUUGUUUAUAUAUAAAUAUAUAUAUAUAUAUAUAUAGUCUAUGGUCUACAUUUACAUAGUUUUUGUUUUUUUGUAUUUUAGUUGUAUGACAAAAUGCUUUUAUAUGUCCAGAGUGAUGACUCUAAGGCUCUUGGAACUCUAGGCAAAUGCAAGCUCCCCUGCCGCUGUCUAUCUUAACAAACUGUUCUGUCUGGGAAACAUCCAAGCAGAUGCAAAUUAUUUACAUAUUUAUUAUCCAUGGCUCGUAUUUCAAUACGCUAGUGUUUAAGGGGAGGCCGGUUACGGCCGGUAUGUGGAAAGUAACAUACUUGGGGCUUUCUUCCAUCAGCGUCAUCACAAUGGACUGGGAGGCUGGUUACGAGCCGGUAUGUGGAUAGUAACAGUCUUGGGGCUUUCUUCCAUCAGCGUCAUCACAAUGGACUGGGAGGCUGGUUACGAGCCGGUAUGUGGAUAGUAACAGUCUUGGGGCUUUCUUCCAUCAGCGUCAGCACAAUGGGCUGGGAGGCCGGUUACGGGCUGGUAUGUGGAUAGUAACAAUCUUGGGGCUUUCUUCCAUCAGCGUCUUCACAAUGGACUAGGUCUUUAGGCACCCUAACGUGGGUUCGGUUUUGCUUCCUUAAUGGCCUAAUCGUCGUCUCUAACGACCGUUUUUACCCGAGCGCCACGAGGAGGCUGAGAAGCGUUGAAACACUGACAUGUAUAUAAAUGUCAAUUUUAAUUAAUAUUCAGGAAACACCAAAAGACAGUAUUAGCCUGUAAAUAAAGUCUAUGUACCUGUUUUAAUGUAGUAAUUUAUACUGUAAAUAAUGUAUUUUUACAAAGCUUAUAGCAAUUUAGCUAUCUCGUCAGUCUGGCAAAAUGUUUGACCACGUUAUUUCUCCCACAUUCAUUCUCGGAUCAAGUUGAAACUUUGCACAAUUAUUCAUUAGCAUAUACGUUGCAUGAAUCAAUUAAAAAAAAAUUAAACCAAUAAGUCAAUUCAUUACUAAUUAAUUAAUUUUUGUUUGAUACCAACAAGUUAACCAGUUAAAUUAAUACUUGAGUAUUCACAGACUGGGCUAAAUAUGUAGGGUUUCGUCAUCUUAGAUAAUUGAACACGUCAUUUCUAUCACACCCAUUCACGGAUCAAGUUGAAACUUUAAACCAUUAUUUAUUUGCCUAAUUAAAAAAAUUAAUCACUUAGUCAAAAAAUUACUGGUAAUUAUUUAUUUUUGUUUUAUGUCCAAUAAGGGAAAUAACUUUUACAUUAAUGAGAGAUUUAGUUGUAAGUGCGGAGUUCUUGCCAUUAGUUAAUUAAGCUUUGUUAUUUUUUUUUAAAGGAUUUUUUUUAAAUUUUGUUUGUUUGUUUGUAUAUAGUUCAUUUUUAGUCCUUGUAAUAAAGUUUUAUGUCGUGGGUUAAAGGGUAGCUAGUGCUUACCAGUGAAUUGAAAGACUUUUGAUAUUAAAUCUUGUAUCAUUUGUAGGAUGACCUUCUUGCAUUAUGCACAAUAGCAGGCUUUUUGUCCAGGGCUUUUGUAAGAGAGGUUUCGAACCUCUCAAGCCCUCGCUCUAAUGAAAUUUGCUGUUGUAAAAUGUAAAAUGUUUUACAUGUUUCGGAUGUUCCUUCAGAGUUGAAGAUAGUUUACUUCCUAGUCCAAACCUCCCGCAGGACGACGGGGAAUGGGAGCGGGCAGGGUUUGAACCCUCGACCGUCGAUAAAUCCGAACGACAGUCCAGCGCGCAAACCGCACGACCAGGCAGCCAUCCUGUUGCUGGUGAUAAUGAAAUGAUGAAUAGCAGUUUGAAACACUUAAUCAUUUAUUUUAAUUUUAUGUAUUACAAUACCUCUAUUCAAGUCAGAACUGCACGGAGGAACCUGGACGCUGAUCUCAAAAACGGCUCUAAAGAUUUUUCUAAAAAUUUAACAGUUGAUGUAUAAUCGCUGAGAAAAUAAUUACUAGCUCAUUGGCCAUAAGGGGAAAAUUCUAGAUUGUCCAUUAUCAUUUUUCAAGUAAAAAAUGAAAUAAAUUUAAAUUUGGCUAAAGAUCUAGAUGUAAGUCUAUAUCAAACAUCUUCUUAUCUUAUAUGAUAUAGACGUUACUUCAAAAAAGAAGAUGAUUACGUCCUACGCGUCAUGCAUCUAGUCAUGCAUAUAUUAACCAAUGACCUAAACUCCGCCAAGUCGCUGGUUUUCUUGGCUGGCUCUUCGGUUUUGAAAGGGCCGGAUUUAAGCGUGUGGAGGCCCUGGGGCAGGAUUUAUUUGGAGGCCCUAUAAUUUUUUGUAAAGAUUUAACGAAGAUCUGUUUAUGAAUAAAAAUACCGAGAUCUACAAGCAUGCUAUUUAUUAGCUGAAAGGAAUACAGUUAUUGUUCUUGAAAUGAAUAUCGCUUUGUCUUCUAGGUCUAGAUUGUAAAGCAGCUAGCUCUCUAGUUUGCACAUGGAUUGAAAAAUAUCUUUGUUGGAAAUCGCUUUUGUUAUUUUGUUUUAAUGCUUUGAACUAAUGCUGUUGAUAAAAGUCGACGAUAAACAUGUAGUCUUAAUUUCAGUUGUGUAGAUCCAUAAUGUGUAUCUAUAGACUGAAAUAAAAUAAUCUUAGCUAUUAUUACAAGAAAAGUUAUCUAAGUUUAACCGCUACUAUAUAUAAAGAUGGCUUCUUGGUCGUGCGGUAUGUGAUAUGGACAUCUUGGUUGUUCCGGCUACGACCUCUGCCGCCGCCGUUCCCCCCUCGUCCUGCGGAAACGUUGAGCAAUGCUGUAAUAAUCUUGAAAUCUGAAGGAACAUCCGAAAAAUGUAAAACAAUCAAAGAAUGUAGCACGCAAUUAUAUGUUUAGAUUUUCUUUUCAAAGCUACAGGUGCUAUAUCCAGUCUCACAUUGUCUAGGUCUAUGCAGUAAAAAAUCAAAAUUGUUUUGAUUGUAAAUAUUUAAAUAUUUGCUUUUUUUUUUUUCCCUUCAAAUUCACUUGAAUAAAUGCCUAAGAUAUGGAGACAUUUCUUAAUCUUUAAAUAUGUAUUGUCUUAAGUGUUUAAAAUACACAUACACACAUCCAGGAAAUACACAUGCAGCAAACACACAAACCAAAAUGUAUACAUGUACACACCCAGCAAGUACACACGCAAAGUACACAUCUAGAAAAGUGCACACCCAGCAAGUACACACGCAGAGAAAAGUACAAAGGGCAAAUUCAAAAUCCCAGUGUGACGAGGGGUAAUAAGUGUAGUUACUUUUUUGUCCAAAACAGUUCGUUUCCCUUUAAAACACUAUUUCAGUCUGUUGACAUGGCAACUUUCUCUUGAGACUUUGUUCUUACCAAUGUACAUGUAACUAAAUCUCUGUAAUGCUAAUAUAAUUCUUUUUUUCUUGUUCUCUAUUCUCUCUUUUUUUAAUGUCCCUAAACUUUAUUAUCAUUAUUAUGUGUAUGUCUCUGUAUUAACUCUGUGAGUAAUAUACCAAGGGGCUAUAAUUAAUAGCCUAGGUAAUAACAUUUGGGACCAUGAAGUACCCCUGGAUUAACAUGCCAGUACGGAAGAAAUCAUUGGUCUUAUGACCUAAUUAUAGUACUAAGUAACAUAGGGGCUCGUCCAAGAUAUUAUGAGUUUAUUUAGAAAAAACCAUAGGUAAACAAAGGCAAACAAAACAUAAUAUAAUAUUGAAAAAUUAAAAAAAGUAGGACGUAUGGAACUAUAACACAGAAUAAUUAUUUUUCCUUAUUAAGUAGUAUACGACAUUAAAAGUAAUAUUGGUUUUUAUUAGAAAUCUACAAUAUUCAAAACAAAAUUUAUUUUUUGUUUGCUACGAAACUGAAAGAAUGAAAGGUCAUAGGUUCUAAGGUAGAUAAUUGACGGAAAAGAUGUCAGCUUUUUUAAUUUAUAGAAGUAUUCUGUGGCAUUUUACGUCUAGAGAGACGAUCUGUUCCCUUUGCAACUUUUUGUGUGACUUAAGAGGCCAGUCCUUGACACACAGCUGCGAUCGCAGGUUGGGCAUAUAUAAUCACCAGGCGCCGUUGCAUUUUCACCCUUCUUUCUGCUUCUGUUGUGUAUGACAUCUGCAAUCCGUGACCCUUCCUUUAUGCUCUCUCUCCAUGUGGAUCUAUCCAGUGCCACCUCUUCCCAGCUGCCAGUGUCGAUUUUAAAGAGCUUCAUAUCGCGUUUGCAUACAUCCGUAUAACGUAAAAGUGGGCGACCAGCGGCUCUCCUUCGAUUCUAUUAGAUCGCCAUACAGGAUGCCCUGUGGAAGUCGACCUACUGGCAUUCUACGAAUGUGGCCAAGCCAGCCAAGGCGUCUGCUGCUGAUAACAGAGCGGAUGUCCUGGCACCCUGCUCUUCGUAGCACUUCCUCAUUGGUUAUCUUAUCUUGCCACCUUAUUUUAAAGAUCCGCCUUAGGCAUCGGAAGUGGAAGACAUUCAGCUUUUUUUCCUGCCAUGAGUAGGUUGACCAUGUUCCACUUCCGUACAGCAGGGUGCUCAAAAAACAGGUCCUGUAGACUAGGGCUUUAGUACUGUUAGUCAGCAAUAUGUUGUCCCAGACUCUUUUCUGCAAUCGUGACAUGGUGGCCAUUGCUUUGGCUAUCCUGUUGUUAAUGUCUUUAUCCAGUAGAGUGUUGUUGGAUAUGAUGGAGCCAAAGUAGAAAAAGAGAUCAACAAUUUCUAGUGGUUGGCCAUUAAUGCUUCCUUGUGUUGCAGUGUUUGAAGUAUUACUAUAUUUGAAUUCUUAACUUCUCAAUAGAGUUUCAUCAUUUUCCAUUAUAUUUUAAUUACUAUAUACUAAUGUGUAAACCUUCCAAACGGUUUUAAUUUGAAAAAAGAUCAAUAUUUAGUAAAAAAAACAAACAACAAAAUAGUGUAUAGAAAGUUUGAAGAUGUAUCUUUCGACAGAGCAUUAAUUAAAAAUGCAUAUAAUAAACUUCAUAGUAAGGGUGUUUAUAAAAGUCAGUUAGCUCAGUAGUAACUCAUUGGAUUGUGGAGUCAAGGGUACCUAGUUCAAAACACAUGCAAGAAUUAAAAAUUAAAUAUUUUUUUUUGUAAAAUUAAAAAAAUGGAAAGAAAUAAAUGUGUUUGAAAAUAUUAAUACAUUUCACUUUGUAAAAAAAAUAUUUAAAAAAAAUGUCUAGCUCGAAGUGAUGAGAUCCUUGUUAACAGUUCCACGUGAAUUUGUGUAGAAAGUAUAAGGUUCCUUACAUUUGAAGUUAGUUCGUAACGAAAGACUGAACAACUUAGUUAGAGCGGAGAUUGAAAAUUGAGAAGUUUAGUCGAUAAUUUUUUAGAGUAAGAAAGUUUUUUUUCUAUUAAAGAUAGAUAGUCAGUGUUUAAAGAUAUAAUUAAUUAUUUUUGUUUGAAUCUACGAUGAACCACAUGACGUAUCUCGGAAAUAAGUAGAAAGAUUAAAUAAAGUAUUUUAUUAACUAUAAGUAUGCGUUGAGUCUACUUGGCAAGUAUUAUUGUUGUCUAAAGGUUUUGGGCUGUUCCUGUGUUAUCUAAAUCCCAAGGAAACCACUUUUACAAACCACACUGGCUGCCUGGUCGUGCGGUUUGCGCGCUGGACUGUCGUUCAGAUUUAUCGAUGGUCCAGGGUUCAAACCCUGCCCGCUCACAUCCCCCGUCGUCCUGUGGGAGGUUUGGACUAGGAAGUAAUUAUCUUCAACUCUGAAGGAACAUCCGAAACAUGUAAAACAUUUUACAAACAAACAUUUUACCCACGGCAACAUCUACAUAUCGGCGCUUUCUGAUAAAGACUGGAAUUUUCUUUUUGCAUAAGUGUCCAAGUUUUACAACCAUAAAGGGAAAAAGACACAAGCCGCAAGGAAUAUAAUUUGUAGUAUUCCUCAUGCUGAAGAUUUUCCACAAUAUAAUUAUAACAAAAAUGGUUACCUUUCAUAUGCAGUGGCGUAGCAUCCAUGGAGCGAAGGGGUUCAAUGAACCCAGAAUUUAUAUAAACUUUAAAAGCAGUGCUUUAAGCUUUGAUGUAAAGAUUUGGCUUUCCAUCAGGUUUUGUGACUUGUAAUGGUGGCUAGCCCUAAUCGUGCGUUUGAGGUGACAAUCGUCUCCGUAUCGUCCCAUUCUUUUUUUGCUUUCGUGUCCGUGUAUACACCUAUGGGUAGUAAUACAGGAAGAGUGAGGGAUGGAGAGAGAUUGGUUAAGAAGUAAAGAUAGUCCCAAUUGUUACUAAUUAAAAUUUCGAUACAGCUGCAAAUUAUUCAAUUUUUUCAAAGCUUAAUUUAUUUUUUAUUUGUUUUGUAUUUAAAGUAUGUAAAAUCAUCUUUGUAAAUUUGUUAGGAUUUUCAUGGUUUGAUAAGUAAUUCAACUAAGGCUGACAUCUUUUCAGUCUCUGGUGAUUGUAACACAAUUUCAGCACCUGUUGGACCUGUUGGUGUUAGAUGGUGACGAUUAGUUGGGGUUUCAUUUGGGGGAAAUUAUCCACCAAUUUCCUUAUGAGAUCACUGCAGUGCUGUUAGGCUUCAAAUUUGGUUUGAUGAAAGGAUUGUUUUGACAAUGUAAAACCUUUUGAACUACUUAAUAAAAAAAAGAGGACAGAUUAACCUCUGACUUGUGGAGGUGAUGUGGAGAAACGGUCAGACUAAUUAAGUUUCUUUGGAUCUGAACCUGAAAUAAAACACCAUAGGUUGAUACCCCGAGAUAGGCUUCUAGUGAUUUCAACUGAUGGUUUGUGGGACUCCGAAGGAAUGUCUGUGGAUAAAGUUGUUUCUCUGGUUGGUCACCAUUUCGAUGCCGCCAAGUCCUGGCCCCUUUUCAUCCUCCAGAAAAUGCAAAACUUGGUGAAAUCAACACAUUGCUCCGAAAGCGCAAAAGUGGUUUAGCUAAAACGGGCUGUGGAUGACAACGUGACAACACACCUGAUUAGACAUGCUUUAGGUCUAGAGCAUGGACAGAUUUCCGCUCAGCUGACCCUUCCUGAAAAGGUAGUGCGCUACUACAGGGCUCUGUGGCAUUUUACGUCUCGAGAGUUGAUCCUUUCCCUUUGCAACAGCUGCGAUCGCAGGUUGGGCAUAUAUAAUAUCCAGGCGCUGGAUCUGUAUACAUGGCGCCGAACUCACGUCUUAUCCGCAACGAGAGGAUGACUGAGUGAUGUCCAUGAACAUUGUUUGCGUUGAUCAGCCCAGUUUUAAAUAUAUAGUGUACGACAUAAAAACAUUAGAACAAAAGGAAUUCACGCUGAUCUGUCAGCUGGUAAACACACCAACACAAACAUUUAGGAUUGUGUUUCGGGGACUUUUCUUUCUUGCCUUCCAAACUGGAGACGGCUGCCUUCGGAAGAAUCCCUGUUUCAUCGUUCGGCAUGUGAGUGUGAAUGAAUGUUGAAUGAAGUAAGGUUGCAGAAUGCGAAUGUCGUGUAAUACUGAGUUCCUGCUUCCCGAGGUACUCUUGACACGUGACAAGACAAAUACUAUAAACUGACCUAAGUCCGUUUCAGCAGACAAACAUGAAGUUUAUUUUACUACAAUAAUAAUAAUACACUGCACUCCUUGUUAGUGCUACAAGUCAAGAAAUAAUAAACAAUCCUAUCCGCAUAACAGCGGUAUCAAAAGUAUCCAAUAUAUGUUAGUUACAAAUCACGUCCGCAUCUCAGCGGGUAACACUGUGUAGAAAUAUAGAUCAACUAAUACAUGUCUCAAAAGACCACUGGCAACAACUGCCCACAAGUUACUUUCUAACUGAAAUUACUACAGACUUUUCAGACUUUUCUACUGUCCAUCCCGGACCAAAAUAUACUUGACCACUCGGUCCAAAGAAUAACACUUGACUUCUAACUUGACUUCACUUGUCUGCUUGACUUGACUGACUGCCUCAAAGUCAACGUUAUUCAUUCUACUUCCUGUUUUCUACAUCAGGAAUUCCACGUGUCUUUUAAACUCUUAACAUGACGUGAACUUUAGAUCGUGCCAUGUCAACUAAGACUGUGACAGUGAGGACAUGUGUGAUACAAUUAUUCGUACAUGUGUCUACAACAGAGAGCAAUAGCCAUGAUGUCUACAACCGGAAACAGGACAACCAAAUAAACUAUGAACAAUUUCUGGGGAAGCAUGAUAUUACUUGUCGUGAGAGUUCAUGAAAUUUGUUUUGUUUGUUUUUGAUAAUGUAAGACCUUUCGAACUACUGGAAAAAAAAAUGUCUGACAUCCAAGAUGGCCUAGAUGGGAGGCAAAUGUCUAUCACUUUUUUAAUGAACCUGACUGUACCUGCCCUACUAUUUUGAGUGUUCGUUGUUUUUUAUUUAAUUCUGUUGGCCUUUGCGAAUAUGGCCUUUAUUUCCGUAUUUAUUUAUGAUUAUUUUUUGUUUUGUUUCUAAAUAAACUCAAUAUUAUUUUUAACUAAAACUUUAUUAUUAUUAUGUAAGUUAUAUAUCUAGAGGUUAUAAUUAAUGGCCUAGUGUUAUGCACUAGAUUAGAGAGUAUGUUAGUUUUGUUCGGCAAUUAUAUUGUGUAUUGUUUUAGCGACGGUAAAAGUAGUGACCUAGUAAGACAGACUAAUGACGUAGUAGACUUAGGCGAACAAGAGACCAACAUGGCGUUAUGUUAGAAGCAGGAUGUUUUAAAUAGUAGUUAGAAAUAGCGAAGUUUAGGAAGACUGGACGGAUUUCCCAGUGCUGAAUAAAGUGUUAUUUUAUAGAAGUGAAAGCUGUUAUUAAGUCUAUAUUUAACUUGUAAUGUCCAGUGGCAAAUGUGAAGUAAUUAUUAAGAAGUGAAGUCAGAAGAUACUAGCCCAAGACACCAGCUAACAUAAUUCGAGGCUACGAAGCUUGUUUGUAAAAUGUUUUACAUGUUUCGGAUGUUCCUUCAGAGUUGAAGAUAGUUUACUUCCUAGUCCAAACCUCCCGCAGGACGACGGGGGAUGGGAGCGGGCAGGGUUUGAACCCUCGACCGUCGAUAAAUCCGAACGACAAUCCGGCGCGCAAACCGCACGACCAGGCAGCUAUCCAGUAACACUUCUAGUACAACAACAUUCACUGGUCUUAUAAUCAUAGUACAAGGUCGCACCAGUUAUCACCAGGAUUCGAGCCCAGGACACCAGGUUGGGAAGCCAAGCGCUUAACCAAUCAGUCACCGUGCCCCCAGCGGAAAUAGUUUGAAAUAGUUAUGAUGAAAGCUGAAGAUAUUAAAAACAAUGGACCUCAUUCACCAAUCGUAAACAAACAACAUUUUGCCACGUGGUUCUCUAUAUCUUCUAUACAAAUAACGCAAUCCAUAAUGGCUGUCACUUCAUACGUAUUUUUCAUUGUUUUAUCAAUAUUAUCACGUGGCUAAAUGUUAUUUGCUUAUGGUUAGUGAAUGAGGUCCAUUCUUACUAUUAGCUUAUACCUUUUUUUUUCAUACUCAAAAACUGGUCUACAUAGCUAAGUGAAAACUAAUUUUUGAUACGACACUAUUUAGAUGUGAUUUUGAUAUCAUUAACGAAUUAUAUUGUUACAAAGCUUAUAACAACUCACUCUGUCUGGUAAAAAGUGAGUACACGUUAUUUCUCCCACACCCAUUCUCGGAUCUAGCUGAAAGUUCGCACAAUUAUUCAUUGGCACAGACAAGACAUGAAUCGAUUUUUUAAAGUAACCAAUUAGACGAUUAAUUACUAGUAAUUCAUGAUUUUGUUUAAUAGCAUUAACGAAAUUGGUACUUCAGUAUUCACAUAUAUGGCUAAAUUUGUUGGGUUUUGUCCCCUUAGAUAAUUUUCAUAGACAUAAAUAAAUAUAGACUGGCGAUAAAGGAGUUUUAUGAAACGAAAAUGUGUGACUUUUUUGUAUACUAUAUUAUACAGAUGUGUAGUUUUGUUUAAUCUCUAAGACUGAAGAUCAUUGCAGCUUUUCAGAAUUCGGAAAUCCGACAACAAUAGAUAUACAUGUUUUCAAGUUGCAUGAAGUUAUUUCCUUUUUCCAGUCUAUAUUUAUGUAUGUCUAUGAUAAUUGUUAACGCCAUUUCUCACUCACGCAUUCUCCGAACAAGUUGAUACUUUAAAUAAUUAUUUAUUGUACAUAACAGAACGUUAAUCAAUAAACAAAAUAGUCAAUUAAUUUUUUGGUAAUUAAUUAUUUUGUUUGAUAUCGAAUAAAGGAAAUAACUUGCACAUUACUGGUAGAUGUAGUUUAAAGGACGGAGUUAUUCCCCUUUAAAUGUUUUUUUUUAAAGUAUUUUUUUUUAUAUUUUGCUUGUUGAAACUAAAUAAUGAAAUGUAAUACAAAAUUAACUAGAAACAUAUAAGAACUUUAUUCUUUAGAUAGGCGUAUGUCUUCCUUUCAUUCAUUAGCUCUGGAUUUGAACAAUGCCCUCAGCCAUCCUCCGUCGUCAUGCGGGAGUUAAAUAAUAUUUUUUUUUAUAAAGCGCUGUUAACAAACAAAAUGUAGGCUCAAGGCGCUGUAACAACAUUACAAACACAAACACGACAAUAGAAAUACAAAACUAAUCUAAAAAAUUUUAAACAAGUAGGUCUUAACGUUCUUUUUAGUUUUAGGCUACCGUGUCUUAAUUUCCAAAUCUGAAAAAAAAAAGAAUCUUUUCUUAACUCUUACACCAUUUUUAUAAAUUCUUGGUCGUAGAAUUAUUUUUAUUUAACCUCGACACCAGGGGCGUAACUAGGAAUUUUCCAGCGUUUGGGGGCCCGGGGGGCUUGACCUCUUCGGGGGCCCCAGCAUUUUGCGUAAUAUUUCAUUUUUAAUGUAAAAAAAACACUCAUUUGGGGCCCCCCUCAAGUGGGGGCCCGGGGGGAUUUUCAAAUUCUCCCCCCUCCUCCCCCCACCCUAGCUACGCCACUGCUCGACACCCACAUCUACUGUGGCUUUAAAAACAGGCUACAAAGACUGUUAGGAAACUCCGAAGAGGUUAAAAUGCUUUUGUUUGACACGCUCGCAGUGUGUUUUGCUUUAAAAGUUUGGUAACACAUAGAACAAUUUGCUGGAGAGAACUACACAAAGGCCCAUAGCCCAAGGCAUCAAAAAAGCGAAAGUGGAGCUGGAUAGGACACACCUUGCGAAAACCAGCAGCGAAUGUUGCUAGGCAUGCGCUUGAUUGAAACCCUCAAGGAAUGAGGAAUAGGGACAAACCCAAGCACACCUGGAAGAGGUCAGUUCUUAUCUUAUCUUAUCUUAUCUUAUAUAAUACAGACGUUACUUCAAAAUAGAAGAUGACAUGGAUGAAGAAAGCUGAUCAGAACCGAGUUCGGUGGAAGGAUGUGGUUGCGCCUUGAGCUCCCCAUGUAGUGCCCAGGAUUAAGCAGAAAUACAGACGCAUUGGGAUUCAUGAGAACUACGAUUUUCAGGUUCUGCUGUGUUACUUCCCUCCCUUGAAAGGCAACCCUCCGCACAACCACGGGGAUGCACACUGCUGUUUUAAAGUUAUGAAAGGUGAGGUGCACGAGAAGCAAUACAGAAUUCCCAAUCAUACUGGUCCAAUGCAAUGGAGAGCAAUUCGAAUUUACGAGCCAGGAGAGAUAAAUGAAACAUCAAAGCUUUUAAACUUGCACUCCUGCUACAACAAUAGUCAAAGCGAGAUAGCUGUGGCUGUGGUGGUCUAUUUCCCACCAUUGACUUCCUGCUACACCUAUGAUGAAAGUACGGGACUAGCACGCCUGGCCUUGACCCCUGACUCCAGUUUGACUAUCGAGACUUGAAGGAACAUUUCAACAACAUCUCAGGAACAUCUCAGGAACACUUUACAACAAGACUCGGACAAUACAGAGUGGCACGAGGGAACAAUGGCUCUGAAUGUGCCAGCUGCCAAAGACAGACAAAUAAAUUAUAAUAUUUUUUUUUUACUUUUGUACAUUGUAUUAUCUACACAUUGAUCACUUCAAGUGGCGGCCCGGGGGGAUUUUCAAAUUUGAACCUGUCCUCUACACAACCUAGCUACGUCACUGCUCUGUUUGAUAAACUUUUAACAGUAUCAAAGAUCGUUCUGGAUAAAGAUACCAGGUUUUGCCCCAUCUCAAGACUAAACCAAAUCCAAUGACUCACCUGGGCAGCAUGUAUUGCCUUUCAAGAGACAAAUGUGCCAUAUAUAUAUAUAUAUAUGGGUAAAGAUGAGUUUUUAGUUUAGUAGUAUUGUUGAGACUCAAUAAUUUAAUACAAUUUUUUUUAUAUUAGAAUACAUUUCACUUGGUGAUUCAUUGCGCACUAAAUAUGCUAUAAGCAGGAAAGUUGUGCUAAACAAAAACAAUAAAAAAUGUUUCCUAAUUUAUUAUUGUGAGUCUAGACAUAUAUAUAUAUAUAGACUGGACGACAAAGAACAAAUUAUUAUCGGAAAUAUUUGGGAAAAGAUAGUUUGUAGAUCCACAUCACAAACCUAUAUAUAUUUGCCUAUGUCUAUGAUUAUGAAACAAAGACAAAAUAUUGGGAAUAUGGCAGUUUUGUACUUUUCAAAACUAAAGAUCAAAGGUAUAUAUUGGCUGAAAUGUUAGUCCUAGAAUUUAUAGCUCAAUCGCCGCCAUUUUUUUUUCACAUAGAUAUAGUACAUAAAACAUAUUUGACUUCCCCCAAAUAAAAAUAACUUCCUACUUCCAGUCUAUAUUUAUUUAUGUCUAUAUUGUGAGUCUAGAUCUACUAAAAAGUAACUCUUACAUGAACGACUCAAAAUAUUUGAUGUAAUUUCACUCUACAUAAUUUAUUUUUUUUUUGAAAAUGUAUUUUUUUUUAAAAAUUUUACUAGUAUCUCCUUCAAAUUCUUCACAGACCACCAUGACCUUCUCUUAAUUCGACCUAAUAAGUCCUUAACUCUUUCUCUCCUAACUGACAAUACCAGCGUUGAUUCCACCAGAAUGUGGUAAAUAAUUACUGAGAGAAAGAGUUAAACAAGAACUGCUUUAAAAAUUAUACAAUAAAAUUUCAAGUAGUGUAAUUUU